rnacentral:rRNA from 1 species
GAUGAACGCUGGCGGCGUGCCUAAUACAUGCAAGUCGAGCGAACAGACGAGGAGCUUGCUCCUCUGACGUUAGCGGCGGACGGGUGAGUAACACGUGGAUAACCUACCUAUAAGACUGGGAUAACUUCGGGAAACCGGAGCUACUACCGGAUAAUAUAUUGAACCGCAUGGAUCAAUAGUGAAAGACGGCUUUGCUGUCACUUUUAGAUGGAUCCGCGUCGCAUUAGCUAGUUGGUAAGGUAACGGCUUACCAAGGAAACGAUGCGUAGCCGACCUGAGAGGGUGAUCGGCCACACUGGAACUGAGACACGGUCCAGACUCCUACGGGAGGCAGCAGUAGGGAAUCUUCCGCAAUGGGCGAAAGCCUGACGGAGCAACGCCGCGUGAGUGAUGAAGGUCUUCGGAUCGUAAAACUCUGUUAUUAGGGAAGAACAAAUGUGUAAGUAACUAUGCACGUCUUGACGGUACCUAAUCAGAAAGCCACGGCUAACUACGUG